rfam:Acinetobacter sp. ANC 4149 Contig8, whole genome shotgun sequence.
GUGGAUGUAGCUCAGUUGGUAGAGCCCCGGAUUGUGAUUCCGGUUGUCGUGGGUUCGAAUCCCAUCAUUCACC